rnacentral:lncRNA from 1 species
AAAGCUCCGCCUCCCAGGUUCACGCCAUUCUCCUGCCUCAGCCUUCCAAGCAGCUGGGAUCACAGGCGCCCACCACCACGCCCGGCUAACUUUUUUGUAUUUUUAGUAGAGACUGGGUUUCACCGUGUUAGCCAGGAUGGUCUCGAUCUCCUGACCUCGUGAUUCGCCCGCCUCAGCCUCCCGAAGUGCUGGAAUUACAGGCGUGAGCCAACGCGCCCGGCCAGUGGAUCAUCUUUUGAUUUCCCGAAAGGAUUUACAGAAAACUCCCCUGGACUAUGUGAAACUAUCCCGGUUCACAGAUAGCUCAUACCUGCAGGAUGAUCGCGGUGAAUAUCCUGCAGGUCAUGCUACGCCCACUUGCUUUGAGGUUGGGAAAGCAGCCUCUUGACCUUCAGCCACUUGAGCCCAGCAGGUGGAGCUAUUUGCCCUCACUGGAGCCUGCUUUCUCGCUAAGGGGAAAUCUGCUAACCAUUACACAGAUAGCAGACACAUCUCAAUUCCUGCGUGGCAGGCCAAGAAUAAAAUAAAGGAGAACGCAGCACACCAUUCCCACUGGUCAAGUGGUCGAACCCAACAUCCAAGACCCAGCCAGCAGCCAAGCUCAGCGCAACCUCCCGACCUCUGACUCUGACUGCAACAGGGUGAGCACAUCGCCCUCGCACACGGGGCCUUUUACAUUGUGGAUGAUGGAGCGGCUCGCAUCCUCCAUAAAUUCCAUGCACACCUGCGACCACUGUCCUUUAGAGCCCAUUCUGCCCAGAAGCUUGGUGACCCUGACCAGCUUGAUAGGCUGCAUGUGGCUGGUGUCCAUGAUGGCAGUGCGGCGGCAGUUGGGUGAAGAUAAUACUUAUGUUUGCUGGUUUAUUAAGAAGGGUAUUUUUAAGGAUACAAAUCAACAGCCAGAUGAAGAGACGCAUAGGGCGAAGUCUGGAAGGGUCCUAAGCGCAGGAGCUUCUGUCCUCAUGGAGUUGGGGUGCAACACCCUCCCAGCCUGUGGAUGAGUUCUUCUUCACCUUUCUCUCAGCCUCCACAUGUUCAGCUCUCUGGAUGCCCC